GGGGAAGUGGUGGAAUGGCAGACACGCAUGAUUUAGGAUUAUGUGCCUUACGGCGUGAGGGUUCGACUCCCUCCUUCCCCA
rnacentral:tRNA from 1 species